GGGUGGUGGGCAGACCGCCCUCCUCCAACUCUCGCCGCCUCCUCCGUCCUCGGGCACCGGAAGUCCCCGUGCCAUGCGUAUCUCAUCCAGGGGGCCAUGAUUGAGGCUCUGGGCCCUCUUGCACACUGACCUUGACCCCCACCCCAUUUCCAGGGCUGAGGUGACACCCUGUGUCCCUAGCAGUGACACUUUAGCUGUCCCAUUAGGGUACUAAGGUACUGAGAUCGGCUCUGGCUUGCAGAACUUAGCUGUUUGAGUUAAACUCCAAAGUCCCUUAAAAAGUGCUUUUUAAAAAAUAUUAAGGUUUAAACGAUGAGAAACAUUCUUUGGGGUUUUUUUGUUUUGUUUUGUUUUGUUUUGCGAGGAGAGUGUACCUUAAUAGGAAUGUCUCCCAUUUGUUCAUAAAUGUACAAGAAUGUGACCCAGGGGUGGCACGGCCAUGGCCCCUGGCCCAGCUGUGAGCCUGAAGAGCCGGGGCAGGAGGAGAUAGCUGACACCCAAGGGCAUCGGCUGCCCCCUGUGUGCCAGUCAGCUGACACUUAUUAAGUGCCUGUUGCAUGUGGGGGAACCGGGUGCAGACGCUCUGAGGGUCCUUCCUGCCGCCUUGACUGGGGUGUGCACACCCCCCCCACACACACACACACACACUCCUUCAAGACAGUGCUGGGGGUGUCCCUUCAGCCUCCUGGUUGUCUCCCCAAGGCCCACUCAGGCCCUCCUGCCCAGGCUGCCUUGUGACCACUGCCUCUUCCAGGCCGCACCUAGAAGAUUUUUCUAUUUGAAGGGAAAUCACUUUUGUUGCUUGGUAACUUCUGUGGCACUAUGUAGCGCACAAACAAAGCAAGGUGCGCUCUCCUCCCUGGGGCGGUCCUAACGCACCACAGGCUCCCGUGAGCGUGCCCGAGCCAGCUCCAGGUUCUGCAGAGCGCCUCCUAGAGCCCCUUAGGGGCGUCCGAGCAGCGGGCCCCACACCCCAGGCACUCACAGCCCACGCCCACCACUGUCGUAACCAAGGACCUCAUAUCCUCUCACUGCCUUAAUAUUUCCUCUAAAUCAACGUACUUUGUUUUACUCACGCCCAACUCUAGUCUUGUGCUGAACAGUGUAGCCGCGCAGUCACAGGUUGGUGUGCUGGUUUUAUGUCUCCUAUUACACGUGAGAAUAAAUGCGUAACUACUAGAA